rnacentral:rRNA from 1 species
AACGAACUCUGGUAUUGAUUGGUGCUUGCAUCAUGAUUUACAUUUGAGUGAGUGGCGAACUGGUGAGUAACACGUGGGAAACCUGCCCAGAAGCGGGGGAUAACACCUGGAAACAGAUGCUAAUACCGCAUAACAACUUGGACCGCAUGGUCCGAGCUUGAAAGAUGGCUUCGGCUAUCACUUUUGGAUGGUCCCGCGGCGUAUUAGCUAGAUGGUGGGGUAACGGCUCACCAUGGCAAUGAUACGUAGCCGACCUGAGAGGGUAAUCGGCCACAUUGGGACUGAGACACGGCCCAAACUCCUACGGGAGGCAGCAGUAGGGAAUCUUCCACAAUGGACGAAAGUCUGAUGGAGCAACGCCGCGUGAGUGAAGAAGGGUUUCGGCUCGUAAAACUCUGUUGUUAAAGAAGAACAUAUCUGAGAGUAACUGUUCAGGUAUUGACGGUAUUUAACCAGAAAGCCACGGCUAACUACGUGCCAGCAGCCGCGGUAAUACGUAGGUGGCAAGCGUUGUCCGGAUUUAUUGGGCGUAAAGCGAGCGCAGGCGGUUUUUUAAGUCUGAUGUGAAAGCCUUCGGCUCAACCGAAGAAGUGCAUCGGAAACUGGGAAACUUGAGUGCAGAAGAGGACAGUGGAACUCCAUGUGUAGCGGUGAAAUGCGUAGAUAUAUGGAAGAACACCAGUGGCGAAGGCGGCUGUCUGGUCUGUAACUGACGCUGAGGCUCGAAAGUAUGGGUAGCAAACAGGAUUAGAUACCCUGGUAGUCCAUACCGUAAACGAUGAAUGCUAAGUGUUGGAGGGUUUCCGCCCUUCAGUGCUGCAGCUAACGCAUUAAGCAUUCCGCCUGGGGAGUACGGCCGCAAGGCUGAAACUCAAAGGAAUUGACGGGGGCCCGCACAAGCGGUGGAGCAUGUGGUUUAAUUCGAAGCUACGCGAAGAACCUUACCAGGUCUUGACAUACUAUGCAAAUCUAAGAGAUUAGACGUUCCCUUCGGGGACAUGGAUACAGGUGGUGCAUGGUUGUCGUCAGCUCGUGUCGUGAGAUGUUGGGUUAAGUCCCGCAACGAGCGCAACCCUUAUUAUCAGUUGCCAGCAUUAAGUUGGGCACUCUGGUGAGACUGCCGGUGACAAACCGGAGGAAGGUGGGGAUGACGUCAAAUCAUCAUGCCCCUUAUGACCUGGGCUACACACGUGCUACAAUGGAUGGUACAACGAGUUGCGAACUCGCGAGAGUAAGCUAAUCUCUUAAAGCCAUUCUCAGUUCGGAUUGUAGGCUGCAACUCGCCUACAUGAAGUCGGAAUCGCUAGUAAUCGCGGAUCAGCAUGCCGCGGUGAAUACGUUCCCGGGCCUUGUACACACCGCCCGUCACACCAUGAGAGUUUGUAACACCCAAAGUCGGUGGGGUAACCU